UACGAAGGGAGCUAGCGUUGUUCGGAAUACUGGGCGUAAAGCGCUCGCAGGUGGUCCGUUGCGUCGUGCGUGAAAGACCCCGGCUCAACUGGGGAUGUCGUGCGAUACGGGCGGACUGGAGGCCAGUAGGGAUGCGGAAUUCCGGGUGUAGUGGUGGAAUGCGUAGAGAUCCGGAGGAACACCAGCGGCGAAGGCGGCAUCCUGGACUGGUCCUGACACUCAGGAGC
rnacentral:rRNA from 1 species